CACGUGCCCUGCUUCUCCAAC
rnacentral:miRNA from 1 species